UCCUGACUGACCGAUAGUGAACCAGUACCGUGAGGGAAAGGCGAAAAGAACCCCGGCGAGGGGAGUGAAAAAGAACCUGAAACCGUGUACGUACAAGCAGUGGGAGCACGCUUAGGCGUGUGACUGCGUACCUUUUGUAUAAUGGGUCAGCGACUUAUAUUCUGUAGCAAGGUUAACCGAAUAGGGGAGCCGAAGGGAAACCGAGUCUUAACUGGGCGUUAAGUUGCAGGGUAUAGACCCGAAACCCGGUGAUCUAGCCAUGGGCAGGUUGAAGGUUGGGUAACACUAACUGGAGGACCGAACCGACUAAUGUUGAAAAAUUAGCGGAUGACUUGUGGCUGGGGGUGAAAGGCCAAUCAAACCGGGAGAUAGCUGGUUCUCCCCGAAAGCUAUUUAGGUAGCGCCUCGUGAAUUCAUCUCCGGGGGUAGAGCACUGUUUCGGCAAGGGGGUCAUCCCGACUUACCAACCCGAUGCAAACUGCGAAUACCGGAGAAUGUUAUCACGGGAGACACACGGCGGGUGCUAACGUCCGUCGUGAAGAGGGAAACAACCCAGACCGCCAGCUAAGGUCCCAAAGUCAUGGUUAAGUGGGAAACGAUGUGGGAAGGCCCAGACAGCCAGGAUGUUGGCUUAGAAGCAGCCAUCAUUUAAAGAAAGCGUAAUAGCUCACUGGUCGAGUCGGCCUGCGCGGAAGAUGUAACGGGGCUAAACCAUGCACCGAAGCUGCGGCAGCGACGCUUAUGCGUUGUUGGGUAGGGGAGCGUUCUGUAAGCCUGCGAAGGUGUGCUGUGAGGCAUGCUGGAGGUAUCAGAAGUGCGAAUGCUGACAUAAGUAACGAUAAAGCGGGUGAAAAGCCCGCUCGCCGGAAGACCAAGGGUUCCUGUCCAACGUUAAUCGGGGCAGGGUGAGUCGACCCCUAAGGCGAGGCCGAAAGGCGUAGUCGAUGGGAAACAGGUUAAUAUUCCUGUACUUGGUGUUACUGCGAAGGGGGGACGGAGAAGGCUAUGUUGGCCGGGCGACGGUUGUCCCGGUUUAAGCGUGUAGGCUGGUUUUCCAGGCAAAUCCGGAAAAUCAAGGCUGAGGCGUGAUGACGAGGCACUACGGUGCUGAAGCAACAAAUGCCCUGCUUCCAGGAAAAGCCUCUAAGCAUCAGGUAACAUCAAAUCGUACCCCAAACCGACACAGGUGGUCAGGUAGAGAAUACCAAGGCGCUUGAGAGAACUCGGGUGAAGGAACUAGGCAAAAUGGUGCCGUAACUUCGGGAGAAGGCACGC
rnacentral:rRNA from 2 species